CAGGAGCCCAGCUGGCUUCACCCAGUGGAUCCCGCACCGGAGCUGCAGGUGGAGCUGCCUGCCAGUCCCGCGCCGUGCGCUCGCACUCCUCAGCCCUUGGGUGGUCGAUGGGACUGGGCGCCGUGGAGCAGGGGGUGGCACUUGUCUGGGAGGCUCGGGGCCGCACAGGAGCCCAUGGAGGGGGUGGGAGGCUCAGGCAUGGCGGGCUGCCGGUCCCGAGCCCUGCCCUGCGGGAAGGCAGGUAAGGCCCGGUGAGAAAUCGAGCGCAGCGCCGGUGGGCUGGCACUGCCGGGGAACCCAGUACACCCUCCGCAGCCGCUGGCCCGGGUGCUAAGCCCCUCAUUGCCCGGGGUCGGCGGGGCCCGCCCGCUGCUCCGGGGGCGGGGCCCGCCAAGCCCACGCCCACCCGGAACUCCAGAUGGCCCGCAAGCGCCGCGCGCAGCGCCGGUUCCCGCUCGCGCCUCUCCCUCCACACCUCCCUGCAAGCUGAGGGAGUGGACUCUGGCCUUGGCCAGCCCAGAAAGGGGCUCCCACAGUGCAGCCGUGGGCUGAAGGGCUCCUCAAGUGCCGCCAAAGUGGGAGCCCAGGCAGAGGAGUCGCCGAGAGCGAGCGCGGGCUGUGAGGACUGCCAGCACGCUGUCACCUCUCAAUAACGCCCAUCCCAACGUUUCCUGAGGAAUAAUUUUGGUCGUGUUCCUGCUACUCAGCUUUUCGUGGUUCCUGCUCAUUUUCAGAGUCUAACAUUCCAGCUUUUCCGGAAAUUCUAUACUUUGAUGUAAAAGUUUUCAAAGAAAUGCUUUGGGCAGAAGAGACUCAUGGAAACUGAGUGGUCUUGAACUCCUGGCCUCAAGUAAUCCUCCCCACUGGGCUUCCCAAAGUGCUGGGACUACAGAGAAUCUUAACCCAAAAGAAGAAUGAGCCAAGAACAUGAACAGACAAUUCAAAGAAAAGGAAAUGACCUUUAAACAUAUGAAACAAUGUCCAACUUCAGGCAAUAAGAGAAAUGCACUUAUUAAGACUACAAGAAAAUGCCUUAUUUUUUCAUCUAUCAGUCUUGCAAAGAUUUGAAAGUUGACUAUUAUAUCAUUUUGACAAAAAGGGAUCUGGUCUUCAACAAGUACAGGAAAGAAUCUCUUCUAGCAGUGGGAAGAAAAAGUGCAAACUUUGGACCCAUUACAUGGUGGAAGCUUCAGAAAUCUUUGUGCUAUGAAUAAGAUUUAUAGGAACAUUGUGACCUGACUUACAUCAUCCAAAGCCAACUGAUUGAGAAGAAAGAAGAUUGAGAACCUCCUCGGACCCUCACUGCCACCCAGAUGUCCGUGGUCAUAGGUCUAUUGAUCUUAAUGCCCUCCCUCUUCCCCUAACAUAAAAGGAAAAUAAAAUUCCUGAAAUUCAUAUUUACUUAAGAUGUUGCUUAAGGACACUAGUUUGUCAUCUUCUCGGUUUGCUGGCUCUCCAAAUAAAGUUGCCUUCCUUGCCCCAACACCUUGUCUCUGUACGUAUUGGCUGUCAUGCGGUGUAUUAGUUCAUUCUCACAUUGCUAUAAAGAAGUACCUGAGACUGGAUAAUUUAUGAAGAAAAGAGGUUUAAUUGACUCACAGUUUCUGCAUGGCUGGGGAGGCCUCAGGAAAGUUACAAUCACAGUGGAAGGCAUAGGGGAAGUAAGCACACCUUCACAUGGCUGGCAGGAGACAGAGUGAGAGCAAAGGGGGAAAUG
rnacentral:lncRNA from 1 species